rnacentral:sRNA from 1 species
CUGACAUGCCAAGUUACUGUUUCUUUUAUUCAUCCACAGAACACAUACAGUACUGUUGACAGCACUUCAAGUUUUUCCAUAGUGCCUACUCAUGUAUUUUACACCACCUGUGGGAGAGAGAUGGUAGUUCAGUCUAUCCAUACCCAUUCAGUCCUUGGCCCUU